CACGUAGGGUGCGAGCGUUGUCCGGAAUUAUUGGGCGUAAAGAGCUCGUAGGCGGUGUGUCGCGUCGGCCGUGAAAACCUGGGGCUUAACUCUGGGCGUGCGGUCGAUACGGGCAUCACUAGAGUUCGGCAGGGGAGACUGGAAUUCCUGGUAUAGCGGUGAAAUGCGCAGAUAUCAGGAGGAACACCGGUGGCGAAGGCGGGUCUCUGGGCCGAUACUGACGCUGAGGAGCGAAAGCAUGGGUAGCGAACAGG
rnacentral:rRNA from 1 species